AUAGGAUUCUCGGUUAAUCCAUUCUUAUGACUACACUACGAUGCAAAAACAUUUAUUUCCCUUGGAAAACAAUGAAAUGCACAAGAGACCAUCCUUCUGUUGCAGCAUGAUUUUUAGAUUCACGGGCAACGACCUAGGGAUGGGUUUCCCUUCGACAGGGGGAUAGGAGUCGACCUAUUUAGAGCAUAUCAAAAUCAAGAGGUAAUUCUGGUUAAACCUAGUAAGGCAACCGAAUUGGGAGUUAAAGGAUUCAUCAAACAUGCACAAAAUUCAACUAUACAGAAAAAGAAAUGCUAGAUGGCUCUUAGUAAUCAAGUUUAAAUGGUUUCCCAUUUCCCCCAAAGCCAGAAUUCAGGUUCUAUCGAGUAUUGUAUACGCAACAUGCACUAAGUGUACAUACAUAAUGUCUUUUGUUGGUGAUGAUUGAGCUAUAUUACCUAGUGAUUAAAUGGAUCAAAUAAAGGUAAUUUUGCAUAACGAACAGCAAGAGAGAAUAAAAAUUUGGUGAAUUCUGAGGAGAGGAGAGAAAGGAGAAAAUUGAUUUACUUUCCCAAGACUUGGGCAAAAUCGCUCAUUAAGACAUCAAACUCGUCACUUUCUCGGAUGUUUAUGUAAUAAAGAUAAAUGUAGCAGUUCAAAAUGUUGAUUAGGGAUCUA
rnacentral:lncRNA from 1 species